UAGCCGAUUCCUUGCCCGCCGGA
rnacentral:siRNA from 1 species